rnacentral:misc_RNA from 1 species
CUUAGGGUUAAAGUUACUUAGUACUAAACGAUUAUAUAAAUGUCACUAGGUACAAAUAUUUCGUUGUUUAUCGGCAGUUUAUCGGUUUAAUAAAUAUAAGUGAUUCGAUAAUUAUAACUUAUUGAAUUUAUUCAGUAUCCUCUAGUAUUGUAAUAAAUUUUCAACAACAAAUAUUUUUAAAUACACAGUACCAUGUGGCCCAUAAUUAUGCAGUUUCUGCGGUCAAAUGCACCAUACCUUACACUUCCAGUAGCUGCUGUAGUUGGUAUUAUAGGAUACAAUUUAGAAGGAUUAUUAUCAGAUAGAUACACACCUUAUAAUAAGGCAAUCCAAGAUCAAAGAUUAGAAAGAUUAACAGAGGAAGACAUCUUAAAUGAUCCAACAAAUGUAGAAAAAUUGAAAUACAAAGAAAAUGUACUUGGAAGGAAUGUAUCGCCGUCAUUACAAAAAGAAUAAUUAUUAAGUUAUUAAAGUCUGAAUAAGUGAGAACAUCAAGAUUUGAGGUGUUUGAAGGAUUAGAUAAGAAUACAGAAAUUCACUGCUGUAAUACCUAAUAGAAGAAAAACAAAUGAAAUUAAGGAUGUAGUAUACCAUUCAAACCUACAGUACUAAUAACAGCUCAAUCUAUGGUAGUCUCACCUACUCUGUUAAAUAUAUAAUCAUAGAUAAAAAAAUCAACAUU